UUUAUUUUUUUUGUCACAAGUAGGAUGUGAUAUGUAUAAGGAAUUGUCAUCUCAAUCUUAUAUUAUCCUGGUCCACUGGAGUCGUACACGUUUAAAAACUUGAGUGGCAUACAUAAUUCGAGAGGACAAAAGAGCUAGCAAGCAAAUGAUGUUUUCACAAAUGGCUUCGUCUCUCUCUCUCUCUCUCUCUCUCUCUCUAAAGGACAAGGCAAUGCAAAAAAAAAAAAAACUUAAGGUGCCCAUUCUGGCAACUGGCAGAAAAUCUAGUUUGCCCUAACUUUACCAGCAAACCAAACACUCAACGCUGCCUGAACUGAAGCCAACACUUGGUAGUUCAACUGCAUCAGUUUCUCUACCGAAAAGGACUCUGAUACCCCGUGACUUGACGAAAUGAUUCAGCAAGUCUCAUUGUUUUCAAAAGUGGUCAUGUAGAUUUUUUUCCUUUUUUGUUUUUUGAGAAAAAAAAGCAAUUGUGCUCAUAUGAAAAAUAAUUUGAUCGCGAUAGUCAAAUGACAUAAUUGUUAUUUUACCAAACUAUAAAAAUAAAAGCUUGUUCU
rnacentral:lncRNA from 1 species